rnacentral:lncRNA from 1 species
CAGCCACAGUACAGGCUUUGUGUGCUUUCAGCAUGGACUCCACAGACUGUAUCUGCAGUUAAAAGGAAACCCCCAGGUGUUUUAUUAACAAUGUGUUUCAAAAUCAUAUAAACAUAAGGAAAGAAAUAUGCUGGCAUUUAUUACCGUAUUUACCUUUUCAUAUUGUUUCUUUCUUUCUUCCUUUUUUUUUUUUUUGAGACAGAGUCUCGCUCUGUCGCCAGGUAGGAGUGCAGUGGCGUGAUCUCGCCUCACCGCAACCUCCGCCUCCUGGGUUCAAGCGAUUCUCUUGCCUCAGCCGCCUGAGUAGCUGGGACUACAGGUUUCCUGCAACCUCACUGGGCAUUUUCAGAAUGAUCUGUACAAGCGUUGACUGAAUGAUUGAUUCCAAGUUCCCCCUUCCUAGGAUUUCAGACCUCCUCUUGACAAGUGAUGAAUGGGCCAUCUUAAUCUUGUUUGGAUCAGAAAGGACCAUACAAUUGAGCUUUAGACAAGACUAAAAAUAUCAAAAGUAGCACUCUGCAAUUUUAUGUGCAUGUGGCUUGAAGCUCUGACAACAACACAAAAGAGCUACCUACUGAAAUAUUUACAAGUGAAAUGAUGUGAGAUGUGGGAUUUGAUUCAAAAUGAUCCUUUAUGUAUGAAGAGUGGGGCGUGGAGAAUGCAUGAAGAUACAGAUAAAAUAAACGUGUCUAUGGGUUAAUACAUGCUGUAGCUGGGUACAUGGUGGUUUAUUAUGCUAUUCUUUCUAGUUUUGUGUGCAUCUGAAAUUUUCCAUAAUAAAUACUUUUUAGAAAACUCAUGAACCGUUCUGAUUCCUGGAGAUGCCUUGGUGCGCAUGACCAUAUAAUCCUUCUUUGAAGGUGAGGGCUGGAGAAGAAGUCCUGUUGAGGGAGAUGGGGAGAGGAGCGGAGGGAGGAGGAGCACUGAAGCACCGAGUUAGCUGCGUCACUGCUUAGCUCCAGAUGGGCCACCAUUUCUGAUCUCCUACAACAUGCCAGCCACAGCCCUGAGCACUCUCCACUCCAUCAUCUCAAUUCAUCCUGUGGGGAAGGUAUUAUCAUCUUCACAGAGGAGAAAGCUGAGGGUCAGGGAGGUCCCAUUGCUUGUCCCAAAUCACAGAGCUCAAAAGCGUCCAAGUUCUGCUGGUGGGGGAAGGGCAGUGAAGCAGUGGGACAACAACAACCACCAAAAAGUGCAACAGGAAAAUGAAGGAGAAUGCCAGGAAAAUAAAGACACGGGUUCCAUGAACAGUGAAACCAACCCGGCAAGCAGUAGAGGCUGUCCCAGCAGACAAUUGAGCAAGAGACCUGAAGAAGUGAGAGUGGAUUGAAGCAGGAGAAUGAAACAUCCCGAAAGACAGGUCACUGGAACUCUUGAAGCAACACCAGAUUGUAUACAGCAGUUAGCAAACUUUGAUGUUGUAGGGUUUUUUGUUUGUUUGUUUGUUUUGUUUUGUUUUUGUUUUUGUUUGAGACGCAGUCUCUCUCUGUUGUCCAGGCUGGAGUGCAGUGGUUCGAUCUCAGCUCACUGCAACCUCUGCCUCCCGGAUUCAAGCAAUCCUACUGCCUCAGCCUCUCAAGAAGCUGGGAUUACAGGCACCCACCACCACACCAGGCUAAUUUUUAUAUUUCUGUAGAGAUGGGUUUUAGCCAUGUUGGCCAGGCUGAUCUCGGACUCCUGACCUCAAGUGAUCUCCCUGCCUCAGCCUCCCAAAUGGCUGGGAUUACAGGGGUGAGCCACCGUGCUCAGCCUGGGGAAACUGUUUGAACACAUGAAUCAAUGAAUCAGUAAAGGCUAAUUUUAGUAGUAUAUUAAACAUUCUUAAAACUCAAUGAAAUAUAGACCAAUAAUUCAAUAGAAAAUUGGGCAAAGAACAUGGACAAACAAAAGAAAAGGACAAUGUCUUAAAAAUAUAUGAAAAGAUGCUUAUUCUUACACAUAAGAGAAAUGCUAAUUAAACUACAGUGAGACACUAUGAGAUGUGGGAGAGCUAAAAUGCUGAAUAAUAUCCCUGUUGGCAAUGGUGUGGGGCCAAAGGCACCCCUAUAAACUGUUGUAGGGAGUGUAAAUUAGGACAACCUCCAUGGAAGAUCAUCUGCUGUAAUUGAAAAUGCAUACAAGACUGGACAUGGUGGCUCAUGCCUGUAAUCCCAACAUUUUGGGAGGCCAAGGUGGGAGGAUCACUUGGGUUCAGGAGUUUCAGACCAGCCUGGUCAACAUAAGAAGACUUUAUUUAAAAACACAAAACUAAACUAAAAAACACUUAUUAUACCUUGACUAUGGAGGAGGUCUAGAGAAAAAAAAAUGCAUACACACUUUCAUGUAAAAGUUCCACUCAUAGGAAUUUACCCCACGUGACUCAAACAUGUAUUAUCUAUCAUCUAUGUAUCUAAUUACUAUAUAAUGUAAUGCUGCUUAUUAAUUUUUAAAAGUUUUUUUUUUUUUUUUUUUGAGACAAGGUCUCACUCUGUCACCCAGGCUGGAGUGCAGUGGCUCAAUCACAGUUCACUGCAGCCUUGAACGCCUGGGUACAAGUGAUCCUCCGAAAGUGCUGGAAUUACAGGCAUGAGCCAUUGUGCCCAGCCUGUGAAUAAUGUUGCUAUAAACAUUUUUUAAGCCUAAAAGUAUCUCUAAGCUUUAGUUAUUGAUUGAGAUUAAUUCACAUGUGAUAAAAUUCACCCCUUUAAAGUAUAAAAUCCAGUGGGUUUUAGCGGAUCUACAGAGGGGGUAACCAUCACUGUUAGCUAAUUUCAGGACAUUUUCAUAACCCCAAAAAGAAACC